AGGAGAGUUUGAUCCUGGCUCAGGACGAACGCUGGCGGCGUGCUUAAUACAUGCAAGUCGAACGGAGAUAAAGAUUUCGGUUUUUAUCUUAGUGGCGAACGGGUGAGUAACGCGUGAACAACCUGACUCAAAGAGGGGGAUAACAACGGGAAACUGUUGCUAAUACCGCAUAAGACCACGACCCCGCAUGGGGAUGGGGUCAAAGAUUUAUCGCUUUGAGAGGGGUUCGCGUCCCAUUAGGUAGUUGGAGGGGUAACGGCCCACCAAGCCGACGAUGGGUAGCCGAGCUGAGAGGCUGAUCGGCCACACUGGAACUGAGACACGGUCCAGACUCCUACGGGAGGCAGCAGUAGGGAAUAUUGGGCAAUGGGCGCAAGCCUGACCCAGCAACGCCGCGUGAGGGAAGAAGGUUUUCGGAUUGUAAACCUCUGUCCUAUGUGACGAAGGAAGUGACGGUAGCAUAGGAGGAAGCCCCGGCUAACUACGUGCCAGCAGCCGCGGUAAUACGUAGGGGGCGAGCGUUGUCCGGAAUUACUGGGCGUAAAGGGUGCGUAGGCGGUCUGGUAAGUUGGAUGUGAAAUACCCGGGCUUAACUUGGGUGCUGCAUCCAAUACUGUCGGACUUGAGUGCAGGAGAGGAAAGCGGAAUUCCUAGUGUAGCGGUGAAAUGCAUAGAUAUUAGGAGGAACACCAGUGGCGAAGGCGGCUUUCUGGACUGUAACUGACGCUGAGGCACGAAAGCGUGGGGAGCAAACAGGAUUAGAUACCCUGGUAGUCCCCU
rnacentral:rRNA from 1 species